AAAACAUGUCUGUUUGAAGAUGUAAACAGUCUAGCCUGCCCACUGAUAAUUUUUAAAGGGCCGCGGUAUUCUGACCGUGCAAAGGUAGCAUAAUCGUUAGUUUCUUAAUUGGGAUCUUGUAUGAAUGGUUGGACAAAAGAAAAACUGUCUCUAUAGUUUAUAUCGAAUUUAACUUUUAAGUGAAAAGGCUUAAAUGUAUUGAAGGGACGAUAAGACCCUAUAAAGCUUGAUAUUUUAUAAUAGUAGAUUAAAUUUUAUAACUAUAAAAAUUUAUUGUUAAAAGUUUAUUUUAUUGGGGCGAUAAAAGUAAAAUGCUUAAUAACUGCUUUAGAUUCACGACAAAUAUAGUUGAUUAAUAUUUAUAUAUUAAUGGAUCCUAGAUAAAGAUUAAAAGAUUAAGUUACUUUAGGGAUAACAGCGUUAUUUUUUUUGAGAGUUCUUAUCGAAAAAAAAGUUUGCGACCUCGAUGUUGAAUUAAAAUUUCUUUAUAAUUGUAGCAGUUAUAAAAGAAGGUCUGUUCGACCUUUAAAUUUUUACAUGAUUUGAGUUCAGACCGGCAUGAGCCAGGUCGGUUUCUAUCUUUUAAUUAAGGUAAAGAUUGUUUUAGUACGAAA
rnacentral:rRNA from 1 species